AUUGAACGCUGGCGGCAGGCUUAACACAUGCAAGUCGAACGAGUGGCGGACGGGUGAGUAAUGCUUGGGAAUCUAGCUUAUGGAGGGGGAUAACUACUGGAAACGGUAGCUAAUACCGCAUACCAUAGGAUGAGCCCAGAUGGGAUUAGGUAGUUGGUGGGGUAAAGGCUCACCAAGCCGACGAUCCCUAGCUGGUCUGAGAGGAUGACCAGCCACACUGGGACUGAGACACGGCCCAGACUCCUACGGGAGGCAGCAGUGGGGAAUAUUGCGCAAUGGGGGCAAGCCUGAGACAGCCAUGCCGCGUGAAUGAAGAAGGCCUUCGGGUUGUAAAGUUCUUUCGGUAGGGAGGCGUUACCUACAGAAGAAGCACCGGCUAACUCCGUGCCAACAGCCGCGGUAAUAC
rnacentral:rRNA from 1 species